UACGAAGGGGGCUAGCGUUGUUCGGAAUUACUGGGCGUAAAGCGCACGUAGGCGGACAUUUAAGUCAGGGGUGAAAUCCCAGAGCUCAACUCUGGAACUGCCUUUGAUACUGGGUGUCUUGAGUAUGGAAGAGGUGAGUGGAAUUCCGAGUGUAGAGGUGAAAUUCGUAGAUAUUCGGAGGAACACCAGUGGCGAAGGCGGCUCACUGGUCCAUUACUGACGCUGAGGCGCGAAAGCGUGGGGAGCAAACAGG
rnacentral:rRNA from 1 species